CGGUUGAUCCUGCCGGAGGUCACCGCUAUUGGAAUCCGCUUAAGCCAUGCGAGUCGAGAGGGUUCGGCCCUCGGCAUACUGCUCAGUAACACGUGGACAAUCUGCCCUCGGGUGGGGGAUAAUCUCGAGAAAUUGAGAAUAAUACCCCAUAGGGCCCGUUUGCUGGAACGCUUCGGGCCCCAAAGCUGCGGCGCCCGAGGAUGAGUCUGCGGCUCAUCAGGUUGUAGUGAGUGUAACGGACUCACUAGCCGACAACGAGUACGGGCCUUGGAAGAGGUCGCCCGGAGAUGGACUCUGAGACACGAGUCCAGGCCCUACGGGGCGCAGCAGGCGCGAAAACUUCGCAAUGUGGGAAACCACGACGAGGGGAUUCCAAGUGCUCAUGUUUAUUCAUGGGCUGUUUUCCUGCCUAAAUAGCAGGGAGAGUAAGGGCUGGGUAAGACGGGUGCCAGCCGCCGCGGUAAUACCCGCAGCCCGAGUGGUGAUCGUUUUUAUUGGGCCUAAAGCGUCCGUAGCCGGCUCAGUAAAUCCUUGGGUAAAUCGGGCAGCUUAACUGUCCGACUUCCGGGGAGACUGCUGAGCUUGGGACUGGGAGAGGUCGGAGGUACUCCGGGGGUAGANGUGAAAUUCUGUAAUCCUCGGGGGACCACCAGUGGCGAAGGCGUCCGACUUGAACGGGUCCGACGGUGAGGGACGAAGCCCUGGGGCACAAACCGGAUUAGAUACCCGGGUAGUCCAGGGUGUAAACGCUGCGGGCUUGGUGUU
rnacentral:rRNA from 1 species